rnacentral:misc_RNA from 1 species
GCUGAUACCUAGAUUCCAGUCUGCCACAAAUGCAUUACAACAAUAAUGUUUCAAAGGACAUUACAAUGCCAACAGGAACGGAAAAGGAGAAAACCAAGUCCCAAAUCUCAAGCUACUUCAGCAAUUUGUGAUAGACAAAAGAGUAUUUGUCGUGGCAGAGGUAUCAAAAAGGAUAAUUGAGAGUUAAAUAUAAAAAAAAAAAAUCUUAAAUACCUUUACUAACACUACGUCCA